rnacentral:tRNA from 1 species
AGAAAUUUAGGUUAACAAGAGACCAAGAGCCUUCAAAGCCCUAAGUAGACAUCACUCGUCUAAUUUCUG